UCUUUUAAUGAAAGCAGUGACUGAAAAAUAUAAACAUGGAUAUAUACAUCCCGAUGAAUUGGCCUAAGAGUAACUUGUAAAAAUUGGAUUAAUGGUACAAAGCAUGUACUAUAUAAAAAUAGCCUGUAGAAAAAAGCAUUAAGCAAUUACAACUCCACCACUGAAGGCUCCAAUAUUAUAGGGUAAUAUUUCCUUAAUGUUAGACUUCAUUAACCCUAAGAUAAUCUCUCAUAAAUUUUGCUGAUUUUUAAGGAGAAAAAAAUAAAUUAUGUUUAUUAAACUGCUGAAUAUGUUUAUGAAAACAAGACAUAAUCUACUGCCAUAAACUUCUUGUCUUUAUCUGAAUGAUCAAGGAGCUCAUAAAUAAAAUAUCACAUAACAAAGUGAGUGUUAAAAUUCAUUACUGUAAUAGCCGUGCUCAUGAUCUAUUUCAUUAGCACUCCUCCUUCUCCUUGAAUAAAUGGGCUUCUUGGUCUACCAGAGCAAAGCCAUUUACAAGACAAAAUACUAAGCUGCUUUUUCUCAUUUUCCCUUAUCUGUUCUAUUCCUAACUUUCCAAAUUAAUUCUUCCCUUAAAUCUUAUUGUUCCUUCCAGUGUAACUCACAGAGCAUUAGAGAGAGUUGAAAGAAAUAUAAGCAAAGAAAUGGGCCUAGAGAGUAUAAGUUAAUUAGGGAUCUAAGUGAGUGGUGAUGAAAUUGGAUGACAGAGGCUUGAAGUGAAUUUAGAGGCUUAUCUUCUUAAAAUAUUUGAAAAAAUAUAUAAAUAAUAGAGUGCCAGGAAAUAUAUACUCUAUCAAGUCAUCUAAGAUAGCUUAAUAACUAAACCCCAUUUCCUCUUUAAUAACCUACAUAUUGCAGCACACUGAUUGUAUCCAACGUACAGGAUUGGCUGUCCUUUAUCCUUGGCGCUUUUGCAAGUAAUUUCAUUUUUAUUGAUGUGCCACUGUAUGUAUUUAUACUCAUACAUGCAGAGAGAGAGAGAGAGAGAGAGAGAGAGAGAGAGAGAGUUUGCUUCCUUAAAUGCUUAUUUCUUGUCUUCCUGAUCAAGCCAGGGCAUUAUAUUCCAUUGUCCCUCUAUUUGAGAAAUGAAUAGGACCAGAAUUUCAUCUCACAUUUUCCCUGCUAAGACCCUCCCUUAUCCCCUAUGGUACAAGCAAUUAGAAUGAUGAAAACACCUACAUGUGUACCACUCUCUCCCUGUCCCAUGACAGAAUCAUUCCUUAGGUCUUUAUUAUUCCUUUGGGACCAGAAAAAGAGGCUUCGGUGACAGUAGUAUCCUUUGGUACUAUUUGGGCACCUUAAUCACUAUCUGGUCUUCUCAGAGGAAAUUGUGGAUAAGGUGGUUUUAAUAGGUUCCUCUGUUCACUGUAUCCAAACAAAAGUUUUUAAAGAAAAGAAUUGACAACAUAAAUGAACAGAACUGUAAAACUUUGAAACUAAGUGUUAAGAAGUUAUAAGAAACAAACUUGAUCCCAGAGAAGAGAUAAAACACCUCCCAUUCUGCCCAAAGUAAGGGCCCAUAGGUGUAGAACACUGAAUGUAGUCAAUUUUUUCAUUUUAGUGAUGACUUUUGCUGCAUUUUUCCUCUUCUUUCUCUAUUAAAAAUAUUUAUUAUGAGGGAUGGUUAUCUAGGAGAAGGAGAAAGAAGGAUAUAAGGGGAAAUCUGAGUAAAUGAACAUUAUUUUUCAAUGUUAUUUAAAUUGUCAUACAUGGAGAUACCAAGAAAAUCUCUUUACACAGUAUUGAUGUUGGAGGCAGGCAGUAUCAUGUACAUCACAUCUUUCCUGCAAAACAUCAGACAUUUAGAUUAAGUAGAAGUUAUAUUUUAGAGGAUUAAAUUCAACAAAGCAUUUGGUACUGGUAUGUAGGUACAAGGAACUCUGCCAGGACCUAAAGAUAGAUGCAAAGCUGUAAAAUGUAAAAGUUCUUGCCCUUAAGGAACUUACAUUCCAUUGAGAGUUAUACCAUGUAGAUAGCUUAUUAAAUACAAAGCCAUUUGAAGAGGCAGAGUAUGUAAAUAGAAGGGAGAAGGGAUCUAAAAAGCCUACUUGGAAGAAAAGAUACCUCAACUGAGCUUUGAAGCAUGGGAAGAC
rnacentral:lncRNA from 1 species